AGUCUUAGUGGCGCACGGGUGAGUAACACGUAGCUAAUCUGCCCUAUGCUAAGGGACAACAGUUGGAAACGACUGCUAAUACCUUAUACUCCGCUAUCACCUAAGUGGUAUCGGGAAAGUUUUUCGGCAUAGGAUGAGGCUGCGGUCUAUCAGCUUGUUGGUGGGGUAAUGGCCUACCAAGGCUAUGACGGAUAGCUGGUCUGAGAGGAUGAUCAGCCACACUGGAACUGAGACACGGUCCAGACUCCUACGGGAGGCAGCAGUGGGGAAUUUUACACAAUGGGCGAAAGCCUGAUGUAGCAACGCCGCGUGGAGGAUGACGGAUUUAGGUCUGUAAACUCCUUUUAUAAGGGAAGAAAUUUGACGGUACCUUAUGAAUAAGCACCGGCUAACUCCGUGCCAGCAGCCGCGGUAAUACGGRGGGUGCAAGCGUUACUCGGAAUCACUGGGCGUAAAGGGAGCGUAGGCGUUCUAUUAAGUCUUGAGUGAAAGCCCGCAGCCUAACUGCGGAACUGCUCAGGAAAC
rnacentral:rRNA from 1 species